rnacentral:rRNA from 1 species
UACGAAGGGGGCUAGCGUUGCUCGGAAUCACUGGGCGUAAAGCGCACGUAGGCGGAUCUUUAAGUCAGGGGUGAAAUCCUGGAGCUCAACUCCAGAACUGCCUUUGAUACUGGGGAUCUCGAGUCCGGGAGAGGUGAGUGGAACUCCGAGUGUAGAGGUGAAAUUCGUAGAUAUUCGCAAGAACACCAGUGGCGAAGGCGGCUCACUGGCCCGGUACUGACGCUGAGGUGCGAAAGCGUGGGGAGCAAACAGG